UGCGUGCCCAAGGCUGUAGGGAGACCUGGGAGGCGCUGUGCUGCCUCGAGGCCCCAUAGCAGGCAUGAGGGCUGGGCAGACCUAUCCAGGGCUGGGCCCUCGGCACACUCUGCGAGCUCUGUCUGAUCACUAGCUGUCUCCACAGAGACUUCAGUGCUCGCACGUUGCUUUCCAGAGUCAGUUCAGGUAAAUAACAGGCAGCAACAGAAACUGCAGCCAGCCUUGAGGAGGGGAGCGAGUCUGACUCCCAGAGUUGCCAGUUUAUUUUGCUUAGAAUACCCUGCUGUCAGCAACACGGGAAACGUGGCAAGAAACAGCAACGGAGAGAAAAUGCGGCGUGCACACCGGAAACGAGCGUCCACAGACGCUGUCCAUAAGGAUGCCCAGACAUGGGAGUUACUAGGCCAGGACUAAGCUCUUUCAAAUAUAUACAGAGCUAAGUCAGGUCUAGAGACAUUUCCCUGGUGGCUCAGUGGUAAAGAAUCUGCCCGCCCACGCGAGAGAUGAGGGUUUGAUCCAUAGGUUGGGAAGAUUCCCCUUGAGGGAAAUGGCAAUCCACUCCAGCAUUCGGGCCUGGGAACUCCCACAGAGAGAGGAGCGUGGCAAGCUGCAGUCCAAAGGGUCACAAAGAGUCUAACGCUACUGAACAACCUCACGUGCGUGCCUGUGAGAACACCCAUAACACCAGGAAUUAGGGCGUAAAAGAAAGGCGUAACUGAAGGGGGAGAAUUCGCUUGAGGGCUCAACAGACUGCACUAGGCGGGAGAAGAAUCCAGCCUCACGGACAGAUCAGCUGAGAUGACCUGGAGGCAAAGGAGAGUGAACAGGCCGUGCUCGGCGGCCGCUGGCAGCGAGACCAGGGAAGGCUGCGUCUGGCGCCGCGGUCUCUCCGAGGACCGCACGGUACCCUUGUCUGCAGUCAGGUUCCCGUCAUCCCGCCGCGGCCGCUGGCCACGCGAUGGGCUGGACUCCACGGCGCUGUGCUGGGAAGGCAGGCGGCAUACUGCAGACAGUCCCUGGGCCUGUGCCUGCUUACCUUCCUGAGCGUCUCUGUGACACCUUCGUCCCCUCAGAAACCACAUUCAAAGUGCAAACAAAUUCAGUCUGACUUAGAUAGAAGCAAAUCACUACUCACAGGUCACUCGUUACACUGGACUGCAGCCUAGUCACACACCUAAGCUUAUGUUCCUAAUACCGUGACGCUGUUAGGGCCGAGCUGGAGCCAGGACGGGCUCUAAGGGGCAGGCUGGCCUGAGGCUUAGCCUCUAGGGAAGCUGAGGCACCGGGAGCUCCCGCAGGCAGUGCAGCUCGACCAAUCAGAAAAAACCCCCGGAGCCCCCGCCCGCCAGGCCUGAGCCAAUCCGGAUAGGGAUGCGAGGUUAAAAGGCCCGCGCACGCGCACGGUUUAACCAAUCAGCUAUGCUUUCACAGGAACAAAACCCUCUGUAUAAAACCAGAUGUGAUUCAGAGCUCCGGGCUCUUGUCGGAUUCCCCUGUGCUGGAUGAGACCUGGGCCCUGGCUGAGCUAGCAAUAAACCCCUUUAUGCUUUUGCAUUGCUGUGGAUGUCUCAUUCUCUCAGUUUUGGGGACUCGGACUCUGGGCAUAACAACACAAGUACUGUUGACCUGGAAAUGCUCUUACUGAAAGUAUGCCUCUGUGUCGGGUGAAUGAAGUAUGUGCGCAGGGACGCCUCAUACUUCCAGACUCUUGAGGAACUAUGGGACCAACUUGUGUCUGUCGCCUAGGGGUUCAGCUUGGAUGGGCAAGAAAGCCAGAGGCUGGACACUGCUGUAGCCACGUGCUCCGGGAAGCAAACUCACCCAGGACUGCAGAUGGCGGAGUGCGGUUUAUUACCCCGGUGGGAUCUCUGAGGGACAGUCUCCUCUUAGCCAGGGUCCCCAACCAGUUUUUGUGAAAACCUUAUAUGCCUUAAGUGUACAUGCUCAAACCCACCUCCCCAAAUUCCCUGAAACUAGUCUGAACAAAGGAAAAGAAAGAUACAAUCAAAGUUAACCCAUGAUUCAUAAGCCUUAAGCUGAGGUGGCUAACAGUGGACAAUUAUCAGUAGGCCUGUGGGCACAGCCCAGUAAGCAUACUAGAAUGCACGAUUCUAUCGGUUACGCAGAUAAUUAGGGUACUCUUUCAGGCCGAGGGUCUACGUGCGAGCCCUGGGGCUCUUCUGCCGGGGGCCCUGGUUUUCCUGAUGGCAUGUUUUUCUGUAGAUACUGGGCAUAUAGCUCAGAGGUUACACAGAUAAUUAGGGUAUUCUUUCAGGCAGAGGGUCUAGGUACAAGCCCUGGGGCUCUUCCUUUUGGGGGGCCUGGUUUUCCCGAUGGUGUGUCUUUUCUGUAGAUACUGGGCAUAUGGCUCAGAGUCCACAGUCCAGCCCAAGAUGGAGCCCCACUUUCAAAACAGCCUGUUCUGUUUCCUCCUCCAGCAUGAACAACAGAACAGUCAACGAACGUUGACUGAGAUAGCAGUUAACAAUGUCACUGGGAGGGUUUGAGGGUAGCAGGCUAAGUGGCAAAUUCAGGGCCAGUACAAGAGACAAAACUGCCUGUAAGCUCAUGAAAUCCAAGACUUGGGUGAGCAACUGGCCUGCGGGGCGGGUGUUGCCGUCGCUGCAGCUCGGCCUGAAACCGGAUGCCUAGAGCUGCUGUUCUCACUGUCGCGUGUUUCUGCUAAACCUCAUUCUUCCCUGUCUCACUGUCUUCAUGAAGCAGGAAAAGUAAGUGUCCUAACGUCUGCGUGUCAAGUCUCACUUGGGCCCACGAGUGCAGGGUCGGUCGGAGCGUCUCCCUGACACCAGCAUGAACAAGCGCAGCAAGCUGAGUGACCGAGGCCACACGCUGACCAGUGGGCGCCAGGCCAGGUUAGUCCAGGGAGCUCCCGCCAUGUGGGUCUCACUCCAAACAAGGUUGGAGAAAUGCUGUAACCAAACGAUUACAGAAUGUAUCAUAAAAGUAAAAGAAAGAAUAGAGGACGGGGUAAGAGAUGCCGUGGACCCUGAGGCUGGGAAAGACUGACGGCGGGAGGAGAAGGGACUACAGAG
ensembl:lncRNA